UGCAGAAUCCCGUGAAUCAUCGAGUCUUUGAACGCAAGUUGCGCCCGAAGCCAUUAGGCCGAGGGCACGUCUGCCUGGGCGUCACGCAUCGCGUCGCCCCACCCCGAACCGACGGGUGGGCGCGGACAGUGACCUCCCGUUCCCCCGCGUGCGGCUGGUCCAAAAUCGAGUCCCCUGGCGGCGGACGUCACGACGAGUGGUGGUUGAACGAACCUUCUUCUUAUUAUCGAGUCGUGCGCCUCUCUGUCGCCGGUGCGGCUGUCCGACCCUGACGCGUCGUCCUCCCUUACGGGCGGAAGGCGCUCCGACCGCGACCCCAGGUCAGGCGGGAUCACCCGCUGAGUUUAAGCAUAUCAAUAAGCGGAGGAAAAGAAACU
rnacentral:misc_RNA from 1 species